UGUCAACUGUCUUUGAGCUACCCUGCUCAGC
rnacentral:piRNA from 1 species